GACGAACGCUGGCGGCGUGCUUAACACAUGCAAGUCGAACGGAAAGGCCCUGCUUUUGUGGGGUGCUCGAGUGGCGAACGGGUGAGUAACACGUGAGUAACCUGCCCUUGACUUUGGGAUAACUUCAGGAAACUGGGGCUAAUACCGGAUAGGAGCUCCUGCUGCAUGGUGGGGGUUGGAAAGUUUCGGCGGUUGGGGAUGGACUCGCGGCUUAUCAGCUUGUUGGUGGGGUAGUGGCUUACCAAGGCUUUGACGGGUAGCCGGCCUGAGAGGGUGACCGGCCACAUUGGGACUGAGAUACGGCCCAGACUCCUACGGGAGGCAGCAGUGGGGAAUAUUGCACAAUGGGCGGAAGCCUGAUGCAGCAACGCCGCGUGCGGGAUGACGGCCUUCGGGUUGUAAACCGCUUUCGCCUGUGACGAGGCGUGAGUGACGGUAAUGGGUAAAGAAGCACCGGCUAACUACGUG
rnacentral:rRNA from 1 species